CAAUUAGGGCACCAAGAACUCAAAAUAAGAACAACUAAAAUAUCACGAAUAAACAUUACCUUGAACUUAGGGCAUCCCCAAAAUUGCUUGCCUUUAUUCUUAACUGUUUUUGCAGUUUUGACAACAUAUUUCAUCCCACAAUAGCAAAACGGACCACCAUGGCUACAUCCCCCUCGACCACCUCCAACGACCAUAUUAACGUCUUUCUUCCACCACCCACUGCACGACGAAGACGAACAGGAACGCAUCUUCAAGGUGAACUUUCGAUUAAACCCUAAAAGAACCCUAGAAGAACUCACAAGAAACUCAGAAGACCCCAAAUUGUGAAAUGACUUGCACUUUGGAUGAACCCUAGCAGAAGAAAUUUCUUCCAAUGUCAAUCCCUAAUUCGAAUAAGCCAAAUCCCAAUCCCAAUUUCGGUUUAAAACUAUGUUUUUGAUCCAAUUAAAAAAAUUCAAUUAUCCACGUAAUUUGUGCCCCCUCCACAUGGAUAUAAGAAACUAACAUUUGCCUCCACGUCACACACAGACUUAACGCCGUCAGCCCCAAUUUGAC
rnacentral:lncRNA from 1 species